UUCGGUGGUCAUAGCGUGAGGGAAACGCCCGGUCACAUUCCGAACCCGGAAGCUAAGCCUUUCAGCGCCGAUGGUACUGCAGGGGGGACCCUGUGGGAGAGUAGGACACCGCCGAGC
rnacentral:rRNA from 1 species